UUCCGCGCUUCUCCGCGAAUCAUUUCUGCGUUAAUUCUCCCUUAGGUUGCUUGUUCUUCCACAGACGAGGUAUCGGCUAUUUUCUUCGAUUUGGGCUCCCACAUUUGCAAGAUGGUUAUGCCGGAGAAGAUGCCCCCAAGGCUGUUUUUAACUCUUAUUACCGAGUUCAUGUGGGCAUGUCCACUGCCCGCCGUAUCUGGUCAAUUCCUAGGAAAGCGAUCUGAGAGAUCGGGAAAAUGAUCGGCAAUUCUCGGAAAUGGGCUUAUAUCCGGAUCAUCACCGGCACCAUCGUCGGCGGCGUUCUCGGCUUCUAUGUAAUGCACCGCGUUGAACUGAGCUAUAAGGAGAAAAUGAAAGAGAGGUUAAAACAAUACGAAAACGAACUGAAGAAGAAGGAGCAAAUUAAAGAGGUUGAAGAUUCUGUAUAAUAGUGUGAGUGCCCUACAAUUUUCACUUCUAUCCCCUCCCGCGGAUUGUAUACUCUGAUUACGCAAUACAGAGCCGAAAUUGAAGUUCGAGGGUUUUGUGUAUCGGCUUUAGCAAUUGACCUCAUAAAGAACAAUCUCCAGUUGUAAAUUGUGGCCUAAAACAUUCCAUUGAAGUGUUUCCCAAGGUAGACGAAUUAGGGCACCGUGAAUUUAGCAAUAAAGUAGUGUAGGCUGGAAAGAAAAGAAAUUUGUUGCUGUUUUGUUUCUGAUUUCUACAUUUUUCAUCGAUUAACAUAACAGCCUGUGCUUUUGUUCUGUGAUUGAUUCAUGGUCGGUUUCUUUCAAAUUUUGAUUUUGAACAUUGGCAUGAA